UAAAAUAUACUUACACUACCACGCCAGGGGAUAACGAGCCUAGCUUAAAACCCAAAGGACUUGACGGUGUCCCACCCAACUAGAGGAGCCUGUUCUAUAAUCGAUAACCCCCGAUUUACCCAACCCUAUUUUGCCACUCAGCCUGUAUACCUCCGUCGUAAGCUUACCAUAUGAAUGCCCACAGUAAGUUUAAUGAUUUUAACAUCAGUACGUCAGGUCAAGGUGCAGCUUAUAAUGGGGAAAGAAAUGGGCUACAAUUUCUAAACUAGAACACACGAAAUGCUACAUGAAACAUAACAACGAAGGCGGAUUUAGUAGUAAAAGGGGAAUAGUGUGCCCCUUUUAACAAGGCCCUGGGACGUGU
rnacentral:rRNA from 1 species